GCAAGUUGAACGCGCACUUCGGUGCGAGUGGCGAAAGGGUGAGUAACGCGUGAGCGAUCUGCCCCCAAGUUUGGAAUAACUGUUGGAAACGGCAGCUAAUACCGGAUGUGGUUAUAAGACUACCUGGUUUUAUAACUAAAGAUUUAUUGCUUGGGGAUGAGCUCGCGUCCCAUUAUGCUAGUUGGUUGAGGUAACGGCUCACCAAGGCGAUGACGGGUAGGUGAUCUGAGAGGAUGUUC
rnacentral:rRNA from 1 species